rnacentral:sRNA from 1 species
AUCAACAAAUAGAGGCCGGUCACGUUCGC